rnacentral:rRNA from 1 species
UACGUAGGUGGCAAGCGUUGUCCGGAUUUAUUGGGUUUAAAGGGUGCGUAGGCGGUUCUAUAAGUCAGUGGUGAAAUCCGGCAGCUCAACUGUCGAUGUGCCAUUGAUACUGCAGAACUUGAGUACAGACGAGGUAGGCGGAAUUGACGGUGUAGCGGUGAAAUGCUUAGAUAUGACAUAGAACACCAAUUGCGAAGGCAGCUCGCUACACGAAUAUUGACUCUGAGGCACGAAAGCGUGGGGAUCAAACAGG